GACGAAGGAUGCAAGCGUUAUCCGGAUUCAUUGGGUUUAAAGGGAGCGUAGGCGGAUUGGUAAGUCAGUGGUGAAAUCUUUGGGCUUAACCCAGAAACUGCCAUUGAUACUGCUGAUCUAGAGUACAGUUGCCGUUGGCGGAAUAUGACAUGUAGUGGUGAAAUACUUAGAUAUGUCAUAGAACACCGAUUGCGAAGGCAGCUAACGAAACUGUAACUGACGCUGAGGCUCGAAAAGUGCGGGGAUCAAACAGG
rnacentral:rRNA from 1 species